rnacentral:misc_RNA from 1 species
GUGAAUCAUCAAAUCUUUGAACGCAAAUUGCAUUUUCUGGUAUUCCGGAAAGUAUGCCUGUUUGAGGGUCAGUUAAAUAAAAAUCGGAGUUGUUGCUGCCUUUCGUGGUGACAAGUUGGCAUUGGGUUGUAUUAAUUUAGGUUAAGUGAUUUAAAAUUUUUGCUUGUUUUUCGAUUGUAAUGAAAUAGUUUUU